rnacentral:tRNA from 1 species
CGGGGUGUAGCGCAGCCCGGUUAGCGCAUCUGGUUUGGGACCAGAGGGUCGCGUGUUCGAAUCACGCCACCCCGACAA